ensembl:lncRNA PCAT19 prostate cancer associated transcript 19
GUUAUUUGACUGGAGUGAGGUCUCAUGUCUGCUUAUGCGGUGGCUCGCUGCUCAGAACAGGAUGGCAGAGAUGAGCACCACCAUCAAAAACUCAAGGACCAGUGCUGUGGGUCCAGUCAUCUGUUUCAUGGAAUUCACCAGUCUGGUAUCUUCAAAAUCCAGAAGGAUGAUGGCAGAUGGCAGGAAGGUAAUGCAAACGUCAUCAGGUGUGACCCCACUGUAGCAGCUGUGAUGGAUGUUUUCUCUCACCAUAGCAAUAAAUAACACAACCUCGGUCACACUGUAUGCAUUGUUGGUCUGCAAAAUCCAUGUUUUGCAAAACUCUUCAGGAAGGUGGAUCUGUAAUAUUGGCAUUGACAUGAGAACAACAGCAGUAUUUAUUCACAAUCUCAAGCUCUCUGUCUUCCCGUCUCUCUCAUUAGCCAUCCAAGUAGUCCUGAGGAACCAAGCCCAUCAGAACAUUCUGCAACAUAAUACACAGCUCCAUUCUCCAUUCAAAUUUUGUUGUUGUUGUUGUUGUUGAUGAGACAACAUCUUACUCCAUCAGCCAGGCUGACGUACAGUGGGGCUAUCUGGGCUGACUGUAGUCUUGAGCUUCCAGGCUCAAGGCAUCCUCUCACCUCAGCCUCCUAAGUGGCUUGAACUACAGACACACAGCGACAUGCUGGGCUAGUUUUUGUAUAUUUUGUAGAGACGUGCUCUCACCAUGUUAUUCAGGCUGGACUCAAACUCCUGAGCGUAAGUGAUCCAAGCACCUUGGCCUCAAAGUGCUGAGAUUACAAGCCUGAGCCACUGCACCCAGCCCAAUCUCCAUUCUACUGAUAACAAUGUCAUUACCAGGUCUGAUGGACAGGAAAUGGUAAGGUUUCUGAAAACCUAAGGAUCACACAGCGAGUUCCAAAGGCUGAAAGUGCAUACCUGUCGACACUGAUACCAAUGACAUCCAAUGGAACCAUUGGAGAUACUCAUUACUCUUUGAAGGCUUACAGUGGAAUGAAUUCAAAUACGACUUAUUUGAGGAAUUGAAGUUGACUUUAUGGAGCUGAUAAGAAUCUUCUUGGAGAAAAAAAGACUGGAUCUUUCAUUGUAGUACUUCUGAAUUAACCAAAAUCACAGUAUUCUGAAGAUGAUUCUACAAAGCCUGCUGUUUCUACAAAGGCUGCUGAUGAUUUCUACAAAGCCUGCUGUAGUGUUGCUGUGGCCUCUGCUUAAAAAAGUAGAAAACACAUUGAUGCAGCAUGUUCACCCCAACCUCCCUGCCUAAAGGCUCAGGGACCAUCUUGGAAGAGGAAGGCGCGUGAGAUUGUAAGAGCCGAAUUAGGGGGAUGGAGUGUGGAGAAUAAGGACACUUCAUCUUGGAUGCUCACCUGCCAAAUUGACUUCUGAUGAAAGCCAGCUCCAGAAAUGUGCCUACAGUUACUACUUUCACCUAAACCCUGCCCUUAGUCAAAUCCUUCUCUUCUUCUAAGCAAUCAACUUCAAUUCCUUGUAUAACCCACAGUAUAAAAGGGCUUUUAUACCAUUCUAUCCUAUUGCAUGUAAGCCUUGGGUCUGGGAGGUAACAGUGUGGGAUUCCACCAUCUCAUCUCCCUGCCACCCAAACAUGCCUGCUCUUCUUUAAGCAAUAUUAAAUGUUUGUACUUCAGAAA